rnacentral:rRNA from 1 species
UAGGGAAUCUUCCACAAUGGACGAAAGUACUGAUGGAGCAACGCCGCGUGAGUGAAGAAGGGUUUCGGCUCGUAAAACUCUGUUGUUAAAGAAGAACAUAUCUGAGAGUAACUGUUCAGGUAUUGACGGUAUUUAACCAGAAAGCCACGGCUAACUACGUGUCAG